GCUUGUCUCAAAGAUUAAGCCAUGCAUGUCUAAGUAUAAACAUCUUUAUACUGUGAAACUGCGUACAGCUCAUUAUAUCAGUAAUUAUUUAUUUGAUGGUCACUUACUACAUGGAUAACCGUAGUAAUUCUAGAGCUAAUACAUGCGCAAAUACCCAACUGCUUGUCGGACGGGUAGCAUUUAUUAGAUUGAAACCAAUGCAGUCUUCGGGCUGGUAUUGUGUUGAGUCAUAAUAACUGUGCGGAUCGCGUUUUACGCGAUAAAUCGAUUGAGUUUCUGCCCUAUCAGCUUUGGAUGGUAGGAUAUGGGCCUACCAUGGCAUUAACGGGUAACGGGGAAUUAGGGUUUGAUUCCGGAGAGGGAGCCUUAGAAACGGCUACCACAUCCAAGGAAGGCAGCAGG
rnacentral:rRNA from 1 species